AUGAAGAUAUCACUGAUUCUACUGCUGCUCACCCUGGGGCUCCUUGUUCAGGGUUCAUCAGGAGACAUCAUCCUGACUCAGUCUCCUGGAUCUCAGUCUGUUGUUCCAGGACAGACUGUCUCUAUCAAAUGUAAAUCCAGUUCACUUAUCGGUGAUGACAUUAACUGGUACCUUCAGAAACCUGGAGAUGCUCCUAAACUCCUGUUUGCAGAUACUACGUAUCGUCAGUCUGGAGUUCCAGAUCGUUUUAGUGCAACAGCACGUCAGACUGACUUCACUCUGACCAUCAGUGGAGUUCAGACUGAAGAUGCAGGAGAUUAUUACUGUCAGCAGCAUAACAGCUACCCGUUCACACAGUGA